CCGGCGACCGGCGCACGGGUGAGUUACACGUAUGCAACCUGGCCGUGACAGAUGGAUAACCGGGAGAAAUCCCGCCUAAUACAACAUAAUGCCGGGAGGGGACAUCCCCUGCCGGCCAAAGGGGGCGACCCCGGUCACGGAUGGGCAUGCGGCGCAUUAGGUAGUUGGUGGGGCAACGGCCCACCAAGCCGACGAUGCGUAGGGGUUCUGAGAGGAAGGUCCCCCACAUUGGAACUGAGACACGGUCCAAACUCCUACGGGAGGCAGCAG
rnacentral:rRNA from 1 species